rnacentral:rRNA from 1 species
AACGCUGGCGGCAUGCCUUACACAUGCAAGUCGAACGGCAGCAUGGGUGCUUGCACCUGAUGGCGAGUGGCGAACGGGUGAGUAAUGCAUCGGAACGUACCCGGAAGUGGGGGAUAACGUAGCGAAAGUUACGCUAAUACCGCAUAUUCUGUGAGCAGGAAAGCAGGGGAUCGCAAGACCUUGCGCUGAUUGAGCGGCCGAUAUCAGAUUAGCUAGUUGGUGAGGUAAAGGCUCACCAAGGCGACGAUCUGUAGCGGGUCUGAGAGGAUGAUCCGCCACACUGGAACUGAGACACGGUCCAGACUCCUACGGGAGGCAGCAGUGGGGAAUUUUGGACAAUGGGCGCAAGCCUGAUCCAGCCAUGCCGCGUGAGUGAAGAAGGCCUUCGGGUUGUAAAGCUCUUUCGGCCGGGAAGAAAUCGCAUGGGUUAAUACCCUGUGCGGAUGACGGUACCGGCAUAAGAAGCACCGGCUAACUACGUG